rnacentral:lncRNA from 1 species
AUCACUCUAACACCGGUUCCCUUGAGCGAGAUGAAGUAUUUGUCCCUAAAAAGAAAUCCAACAUCCGCUGGUUCUCCAAAUACCUUAACAACCUACCAGGCCGCCUAUUCACUCUUACCAUAACACUUGCCCUUGGCUGGCCGCUAUACCUAGCAUUUAAUGUUUCAGGCAGGCAUUAUGACCGAUUUGCCUGUCACUUUGACCCAUAUGGCCCUAUCUACAAUGAUCGCGAGCGAACUGAGAUAUUCAUUUCUGAUGCUGGUGUUCUUGCUGUCACUUAUGGUCUCUACCGUCUUGCUCUAGCAAAGGGCUUUGCUUGGGUUAUUUGCGUUUAUGGAGUACCUUUGUUAGUGGUGAAUGCAUUUCUUGUUAUGAUCACAUAUCUGCAACAUACUCAUCCUUCAUUGCCGCAUUAUGAUUCUUCUGAGUGGGAUUGGCUGAGAGGCGCGCUCGCAACUGUUGAUAGAGAUUACGGAAUCUUGAACAAGGUAUUCCAUAACAUUACAGACACUCAUGUAGCUCACCAUUUGUUUUCUACAAUGCCACAUUAUCAUGCAAUGGAGGCUACAAAUGCCAUAAAACC